GCAUCAUCAAUGACCGGGAAGAGUACACAUGGCUAGAGAGCCGCAGCGAGCCAAUGAAAGUGAGAGUUUGGCGCCGCUCAGCAUGUCGAAUGGGCCCGGGAGAUACGAUCCGAUCCAGCUUUAGGGGUAGGCGUCGUCGGGGUUUCUUCCGCCGUUAUCAGGAAGAGGGUAUCGGACAUCUGUCCUGUACUUCUUAAGCCGGACUAUUUUUAUAGUCAAUUAGGGUGGCACCGCGGGUUAACGCCUCGUCCCUUCA
rnacentral:ncRNA from 1 species